AUUCUUUUAAAUGUGUUAAGGUAUGUUUUAUGACCCAGAAUGCAGUCUAACUUGAUGAACAUUCCAUGCAAGCUUAAGCAAAAAGACUAAUCUGCUGUAGUUUCCUCAUCUUUUUCAACAAACAUUUGAACCCCAUAGUCUCUGCUUUAAUAAUUCUAGUAUCCAUUCCAACCUACACCACCAUCAGUUCUAGACUGUACCUCUACACUAAAUGACCCCAGAUGGUUCAGCUUUAAGUCUCAGCUGUUUUCAUCAUUUAACUGAUUCCCUUGCUGGCAGCAGGGAAAUUAACUACCAGCCACACACUUGUCUCCAACAGCACCCACCGACCACGUCCUGCUCCCCUGUCAUUACCACCACUAAACCCGGUAGCAGAGAGAUGAGCUGUGAGGUAGGUGCCUUCUAGAUAAAUGAGGUGCUACUGGACAUGCACUGUGGUCUUCUCUGCAGUAGAAAAAUGUCCAAGGAAGGUCAGCAUCAUUGAUAGAAAAUAAAUGUGAGGCUGCAUCUCGCCAGCUCAUCCAUGAGCAAUUCCUUCAGCUCCAGCAGGCUACUGACAAUUUGCUUUUAACCCAAAUCCAGCUCUACCCUCCCUAAAGCAUGCACCUAGGGCCCCAGUCAGAAAAACAAAACAAAAACUAAACCAGACAGGAUAAUUAAGGAGGCAAAAAGCUUAAACCAUAAUAUUUUAAUUAAGCUGAUUUAUUUUAACCGUAGCACUACUGCUUUAUUUUAGUUAUAUACCAGUAAUGGAAAAUAGUGGCCACUUUUCAUUAUUAAUCAUAAGAUAAUUCAUUGUAUUUGUCUUUCCUAAUAAAAUGGCAUUAUAUUAAGGCCCAAAAUGUUUACUAUGGCCCAGUAAAAUAUAGGGUUGUUCUGUGAGCUAUUUCUUAGGAUAGAAAAUUAUUCCAGAAAGCUAUUAGUUCAAAAGUCUCUAGCAGUGCCAAGGUUUCAAUAGUCUCUUUAAUUUUGAAUCUAUGCGAUUGAAGAUAAGACUGCAUCUAGUUUGGGGGUUGCAUGUUUGUGGACAUUCAUGUUUCUAUGUACCUGGAACUUCUUAUUCUCACCAUCACACAGAAUUUUCAAGAACUAGUUAAGCAAAGAAAGCAAAGCCCAGCAGGUGUCAGAAUUGGGUCCCCAAGCUGAGGGUCAUUAGGGUGCAUGUCAGUGUGCCAACUCCAAUAUCCACACCUAGAGAACGCACAUCUUCCCAAAAGAAAUGAAGCACAGAUGAUACUUGAUCCUCAACUUUGUCUCCAGAAAUUUUUUCAGGAACUUGAGUUCUUUAUCAAAUGCUCACAUCCUACAGAGAAAUAAAGUGUUCCAUUUUCAAGGUUCAUGAAGCUCGUCAAUGCUGGGAGCAGGCACACACUUGUAUUUUUAUACUCAGGGAUCCCAACAGGCAACUAAAACUAGACAAGGACAAAACUCCACUCAAAAUAUUCUGAAAGUUAGCUGAUGCCCCAUAUUUUAUUACUCCAAAUGUGUAUUCACUUGCCUGAGUGCUGGCCAUGAGCACUCAGUGAACACUUGCAGUACAGUGAGUGAUGUCCUUGACAAGUUACUAUGAAGACUCUGAGAAAAAGUAACAUCCCCCACUGUCCUCAACAAGCCUGUAAUCCCAUGGCUGCCAGCCCUUACCAUGCAACAACACUGCGCUAAGUGCAUCGAACCACACAAAACCCUGUGAGAAAAUACUGCUUCCCACUUCACACGUGAAGUAACUGAGUCUAGUUUUAGAAAUACCUAAACGAAGAGGGACAGGCACAACAAAUUUGCUGGAAUGUAAAGAAAGUAGAUCAGUUUCUGCGUAAGCAGUAAGAAAUGGCCUCAUGAGGAAGAAAGGGACAUUUGCCCUGACAUUUCUCAAAGACUGCUUAGGUUUUGGAGACAGAGAUCCAAGGGCAGGCAAGCACAAUGGUUCAUGCCUGUAAUUCCAGCACUUUGAGAGGCCAAGGUGGGAGGAUUGCUUGAGCCCAGGAAUUCAAGAUUAGCCUGUGCAACACAGCAAGACCCCAUCUCUAUUUUAAAAAGAGAGAGAGAGAUCCAAAAGCAAAGGCAUUUCAGUUUGCAAGGCCAGCAUGGGAGAGGGUCUUAAAACAGAAACACACAAGGUAAGAUUGGGGGAUGGUACCUAGACCAGCCUAGGAUCAUAGGAUUUGAUAAAAUAUGCAUUUGGAAAACUGGUGCUAAUUUAUAGAGACUUAGAAUUUCAGGCUAAGGACAAGGACUAAGAAACGAAUAGCAUGAACAGUAUUAUUGAUAAACCCAUCAUUGCAUCUUAAAGGCUCUGAAGUCUUUAGUAUUGAAUUAAAAAAUAAUUUUCACUGGACAAAACCAAAAGGUCUUUACACAACUGUCAAGCACUUUGAAAUGAUUCAGCAAAAAGCAGAAUAAAUCACUAGUGGAAUUUCAAUAGCAUGUAGUUGUAAACCAUCAUGUGUCCAGCAAAAUCACAAAACAAGAGUUUAUUUUAGAAGGGACUUAGGGAUAUUAAGAAAUAUAACAUACAAAAUAACUAAAGUUUUCUCCAAGCAAAACCAAUGAUCCUUUAGGGAUGAACAGAAAGAAAACAAGAAAUGCUUCUUUCAAAAGUUGCUACCAAGGCUUCUAAGAUUUCUUUGGAAUAAAGUCACUAAGAUUUGCUUCUGAGGUCAAUCUUGCCAACUUUUCCACCAUGCUUUUUAGGAAGGAACACCAGGUAGGGCUCAAGUACUGGUUUGGCUCCUGUCCCAUUUUUUGGUCCUUUUGUAACUCCCUUUACUCAACUCCAAGUAUGUCUGUGCACGGACAAUGAGACGAAAGCAUGCUCAAUGCGAAAGCACAAAUUAUGUAUUGAGAAAUCACUACAAUGCCAAAUUUUUUUAAAAUAAAAAAAAAAUAUAUAUAUAUAUAUAUAU
rnacentral:lncRNA from 1 species